UUUUUUAAAGUGAAAAACAAAUCAGGGAUUAGGGUUUAGUUCCUUAUUUGCGCCCCUUUCCUUUUUACUCUCAAACGAAAAACACAACAUCAUCUCCACUCUCUAGCCACUCAUCCACCAUUGUUCCUUCAUUGAAGAUCAGUCAUCCACCUUCAUCUCUGCAGGUAGGAAUUCCAUGUUUUUUUCAAAGACAACCAUCAAAUGUUGAAUCAUCAUCUUCAAGUAGUAAACCGCUGAAAAUAGAUAUGGAUAAUCUUCCAUGGACUCCUUCCGAGAGGUUCGAUAUUUAUGUUUCGUGUUCUUAAAUUUAUCAAUGAUGAUUUUUUUUUUCAUUCUUGUAUUGUAUUUUUAUUAUGUUAUGAACUUUACCCGACCCGAAUCGUCGAACCGCUCCAUUUUUUUUAUGUUCGGACACUUAAAAAAGUGAACCCCUUGGAAAAAAUUCCUGGAUCCGCCACUGGGUACAUUACCGAAGGAGUCCCAUUGUCUUCAAAAAUGUUUCCAAAAAAGUAGUUUGCAUUGUUUAGCAGAAUUCAGAUAUCCAUAAAUCAUAAACAAAUAACUUAAUCAGCAAUCUAGAAAUCAACAAUGCAACAUUACGUAUUAACCAAAAAUAGAAGUUUAAUAUCUGGAAAUGGCAAUCUGUAAUAGAUUAUCGAGGAAUCUGGAAAAGAACUGAAGUCGAUAAGGUGCAGUGUCGCACAUGGAAGAUGACUAACCAAGAACCUUAUGAGUAACAGAGAAAUUGAUUUAUGAUUUAUGAACGUGAAGGGCCCUUCAAAAUCCCAGUUCUUUGGGUUCAACUUUAUCCAGCAUUCGUUUAUCUAUUUGAUUGAUUUGUCACACACUUCAUGUGUUUGACGAAAUGUCUCAAUGAAAUUUCACACAAUUCGACAUAAGGGGUGAGUGCAAUAGCUUUGUUAAAAAGGAUCUAAUGCCAUGACUAACCAAACAUAAUAAUAAACCAAGAAUUUAGAUGACGCUAAAACUAAUCAUCACAAGUGAAUAAAUUAUGCUAGACUUUUUUGGCUAAUUGUUUCUUGUACAUUGCUUGUCAAUUGCCUUUUCAUAAUAAAUUCAUCAAAAGUCCUAAUGACUGAAUUUUAGGAGCUUUUAUUGUAACACCCCAAAACUCGUAUUAUUAAUACGUAGGUACGUUGCCAUGUUAAUUAAAUGAAAUACAAUAACUAGGUUAUUAAACUUAGUUAAAAGCCUAACAAAAUAAGUAAAGGAAUGAAACUUGUGGCAACUAUGAUGGUGUGAUAAACUUGAGAGACUAGGAUUGCCAAAUUUGAAACUGAAUUUAAUUAAAACAAAAAUCUCACAUACACAAGGUGUGUGUGUGCGUGAGAUCGAUCAGGAGAAGGGAGUGAGGGGUGUAAACCCUAGCCCUCAAGAAACCAUCAAAUUGAAGAAGGAUUUCAGCCUAAACUAAUGCAUGAACUCGUUUUCUUGAUGAUCUAGCCCUAUUAAACAUGUGGUAAGUUGUAAUUUAUGAUUUGAUGAUCUUGCUAUGAAGUGGGUUAUGAACAAUUCAUGAAUUUGUAUGAAAUUGAUCAUGUACAUGUGUUAGAACCACCAUAUAGAACAUGAACUAUCCAAGAUUCUAAGUAAUUUGAUGAUUUUGGAUGAAACCCACUUGUAGUAGUGAAGAUGAUGAUAUGGAUAAUCAUACAUGUUUAAUUGUUGUGUAAAAUUUAUGUAUGAUGUUGUAUGUAAUGAGUAAUUGUUAGUUAAGUUGGGUAUAUUAUGUGAAUUAUAUGAUUCUAGUGGAACUAGAAGAUCUUGACAUGAACUUGUAAUAUUAUGCAUAAAAUACUUGUACUAUGUGCAUAGGAGGUAGUAUGCACUCCAAGUAUAUGAUGAAAUGCCUAAGUGAAGUUAGGAUGUGAGAUUGUAGGAAAUGGCUUGACAUAUAUGAAUGGAAUAUGAUAACGAUAUGAUUAGUAGUUUACUAACUUGAAGAAUGUGCUCUAGAUGGAACUCGUAUAAGAAUUCGGGUUGAAUGUAUGCGUGAGUCAAGUUUAUGCAUUUGGAGCUUGUAUGUUGUGUAUGUGACUAGGUGAUCAUGUAGUGGUAUGUGUCAUACAACAUUACGUAUGAAAUGAAUAUCACGUCAUUAAUAUGGUCUACUAUAUCAAUAUGAAUGCGUAUUCGAAAGUUAGAAGUUGUAUGCUAGAAGGUUGACUUUCUGAAAGUCAACCGAGAAUUUAUAGCAUAGAUAGGCAUUUUGACACAAAUAUAAGAACCGAGAGAUCAUGGAAUAUGUGUUAGACCAAUUAUGUGUUAUGUGUGAUAACGAAUUUGGAUUUCGAAGAUAUUGAACAAUGUGGAUGACAAAUCAUGUCGUAUGCUUGUUAGUGUAAGUCAAUAUAGAUAAGAGUUGAAAAAUGAAUGAGCAUGAAUGCUAACAUUAUUAUGGCAUGACGGCAUGAAAGAAUAGGAACCACACUAGCAUGGACCAAGCAUGGAAGGCUAACGGGUCAAGUUGAGGCAAGGAAAAUGAUACAAACACGGAUGCAUAUGGUAAGUGAUUUCCGCAAUCACUUCUUAGUUGUUUACGUAGAGUUAUGUGCUAGUUAAUUAAGUAUGAUAAUUGAGAACAAAUAAGAAUGGGUUGUAUGAAACUGAUGAUUUCCACUAAGUAGAUGUAACGGGUCAUAAAUGAGGUCUUAAUGUUAUAACGGAACGAAGAGUAAGGAAUGGCUACGGUAUGAUAACCGGGUAACGGGUAGAAUUGCGCAUAAGUGCGCUAAUGGGUAAACGGAAGUACGGAUAAUGUAAAAGUAUUAUGGCUACAACGUUCAUGUAAGUUUUGGGCUAAAACGAAUAUGUUGUUUGAUUAAAACAUGAAUGGGUCGAAUAAUUAUGCAUAAGUAAGGUAGCGGUAAUGAAAUUCGUAAAGAUUAAGGACCCGGGGCAAGGAUUCUUAGUCUAAAAUGCAGGGAAAGGUUUUACGGACAAUUAGAAACAAGUUAUGUUGAUAUAUGCAUGAACGGGUCAAAAUUUGGUAAAAGGGUAAUAAGCCGAAGGCUUAAAAGUCAUGAAGUUAGGUAGUCCAAAUAUUGGAUUUUCACUCCAUGUGAUGGAGAAUUAAAUUACGGUCGCGUAGGAAAAAGAAUCGGGUAAAACGGAUCAAAAACGAGAAAGUUAUGCUCGUUUCCGUGAAAUCGAGUCAUGCUGAGAAUUAUACAGCACCAGCUGCAACAUUCUGUCAAAACUAGGCCGUGGCGUAGCGCGACGGGGAAGGCCCCAGGCCGUAGCGCUACGCGAGCGGGUGUCAGUUUCGCGAAAAUCUUUUAUUUUAACCGUUGAUGCAUUGCGAACCCGUCUGGACCGUUUUUAAACGCGUAUAAGCUAAGAAUGACUAAUUUAUUCCUUGUUUUAGGAAGUGUAGACACGUAUAGAGGUAUGCAUGUAUAUAUGUAUGAAUAUAGGUUGUAUGUAUGAAUGAAGGUACGUUUGGAUGUAUGCAAGUAGGUAUAUAUAUGAGCGUAUGCACGUAUGUAGGCAUACGUGAAGAUAUGAAUGUAUGUUUGAAAGUAUGUAUGUAGGUGUGUAUGUAGGUAGUGUGUAUAUGUACGCAAGUGAGUAUGUACGAAUGUAUGCAUGUGUGUAGAUAUGUAUGUAGAUAUGUAUGUAAUGAUAUAGAUGUGGGUAUGUACGUAUGUAUGUUUAUAAGUAUGUGAGCAAGUAUACGCGGAUAUACGAAGGUAUGUAUGUGAGUAGGCAUGUAUGAGUUAGGUAUGUUGCAAGUAGGGAUGUAUGUGUAUAUAUAUGUAUAAUGCUAUGGGUGUACGUAAUGAUGUAAGUAUGGGUGUAUGUAGAUAUGUAUGUAAUGAUGUAGAUGAGUAUAUAUGUGGGUAUGUACGUAUGUACGUAAAUGGUUAUGUGUGAACAUAUAAAUAUGUAUAAGUAUGUAUGAAGGUAGGUACGCAAGUAUCCAAUGAAAUUGAGUACUAACGAUAAUAUUAGCGUGCCUGGUGAAUGAAGUGUAACGCAGGUACAGCGAGAAAGUCUCACCACGGAUUGUAUGAUCAGAUGGAAAGCUGGGAUGUAAAGAGUUAACGGAUCGAAAAGUAAACGUGAAUAAAUCUUGUAUGUUUAUAAUGUGUACUAAUGUUAUGAAUUUAAUGUGGUGAGCGCAGGUAGUACGAGUCAUGUGGAUCAUCAGGGAAUAGAGAUCGAGGAUCGAGUCACUAGUGAGAUUGUACGGAAUGUUGGUGUAUGUAAUGUAGUAAACUCAUGUUAUAUUUUUAAUUGUAAAUGAGUCGAUUGAUGACUUUCUGCGAAAGAGUUAUGUUAAAAAUGAAAUUUUAAGUAAGUCAAGGUAUUUAUAAGGAAAGAAAUUUUAUGGCUUAAA